UCCAAGAAGGAAUUGUGUUAGGACAUUUGGUGUUUGACAAAACCAAAAUUGAAGUAAUUGAAAAGAUGUCUCUACCCACUAAUGCCAAAGGAGUUAGAAGUUUUCUGGGACACACCAGAUUUUACAGGCGUUUCAUUAAAAAUUUUUCAAAGAUAGCAAAUCUUUUAUCAAAUUUGUUAAGUCAUGAUGUAUCAUUUCUAUUUGACCAAGAAUGUCUUGAUGUUUUUUGUAG
rnacentral:misc_RNA from 1 species